UUGAAUUAUAUCGUACUUUCGUGUUGUUAUUGCGGUAUUGUUACGAGCGGAUUAUCGAAAGUCGCGCGGAAUAUAGAAAUAAUAACAUCGACAUUGUUAUUGGUAUUCGAAGUGUAUACAUUUAAUCGGAGUCGUUUCCCGGACACGGAGCGGCACGGACGUGUUUCUUUUCUCGCUCUCUCGCAAUAAGAAGGCGCGACGUCGCACAGUGAAAAUAUAGAGCCUCUGGCAAGGGUCUGAGGAAGUGUUCGAGCUCUAAUUGCCUCGAAACUCGAUGGCUCGAGAAGGGGAUACGCAGAGAUUUGUUCAUAAAUCUUCAUUCGCGAGGUGUCGUUACUCUCUCUCUCUCCGUGUAAAAUAAAACUGGACGCGCGCGCGCCCACGAAUGAUUAAUGCGUCGGUUGUUACGCAUUCCGGAGAAAAUGGUUGCGUAAUUAAAGAUAAUACAGAGUAAUUUUUUCUUCUUCUU